GAUGAACGCUGGCGGCGUGCCUAAUACAUGCAAGUCGAGCGAACAGACGAGGAGCUUGCUCCUCUGACGUUAGCGGCGGACGGGGGAGUAACACGUGGAUAACCUACCUAUAAGACUGGGAUAACUUCGGGAAAACGGAGCUAAUAACGGAUAAUAUAUUGAACCGCAUGGUUCAAUAGUGAAAGACGGUUUUGCUGUCACUUAUAGAUGGAUCCGCGCCGCAUUAGCUAGUUGGUAAGGUAACGGCUUACCAAGGCAACGAUGCGUAGCCGACCUGAGAGGGUGAUCGGCCACACUGGAACUGAGACACGGUCCAGACUCCUACGGGAGGCAGCAGUAGGGAAUCUUCCGCAAUGGGCGAAAGCCUGACGGAGCAACGCCGCGUGAGUGAUGAAGGUCUUCGGAUCGUAAAACUCUGUUAUUAGGGAAGAACAAAUGUGUAAGUAACUAUGCACGUCUUGACGGUACCUAAUCAGAAAGCCACGGCUAACUACGUG
rnacentral:rRNA from 1 species